rnacentral:rRNA from 1 species
GAUGAACGCUGGCGGCGUGCUUAACACAUGCAAGUCGAACGGAAAGGCCGGAGCUUGCUUCGUUACUCGAUUGGCGAACGGGUGAGUAACACGUGGGGGUUCUGCCCUUUACUUCGUGAUAAGCUUUGGGAACUGGGUCUCAUACCGGGUAUGACAAUCUCUUGGGUGGGGUUGUGGAGUGCUUUUGGGUUAUGGUAUGAGUUCGCGGCCUAUCAGCUUCUUGUUGGGGUAAUGGCCUACCAAGGCGUCACCGGGUAACCGGACUGAGAGGGUGUACGGCGACCUUGGGACUUAGAUAAGGCCCAGACUCCGACGGGAGGCAGAAGUGGGGAAUAUUGAAGAAUGGGCGCAAGCCGGAUGCAGAGACGCCGCGUGGGGGAUGACGGCCUUAGGGUUGUAAAAUCAUUUCGCAACUGACGAAGCUUUUUGUGACGGUAGGUUGAGAAGAAGCACCGGCUAACUACGUG